rnacentral:rRNA from 1 species
GAUGAACUCUGGCGGCGUGCCUAACACAUGCAAGUCGAGCGAUUCUCUUCGGAGAAGAGCGGCGGACGGGUGAGUAACGCGUGGGUAACCUGCCCUGUACACACGGAUAACAUACCGAAAGGUAUGCUAAUACGGGAUAAUAUGUUUUGAUCGCAUGGUCGAAAUAUCAAAGCUCCGGCGGUAUAGGAUGGACCCGCGUCUGAUUAGCUAGUUGGUGAGGUAAUGGCUCACCAAGGCGACGAUCAGUAGCCGACCUGAGAGGGUGAUCGGCCAAAUUGGAACUGAGACACGGUCCAAACUCCUACGGGAGGCAGCAGUGGGGAAUAUUGCACAAUGGGCGAAAGCCUGAUGCAGCAACGCCGCGUGAGCGAUGAAGGCCUUCGGGUCGUAAAGCUCUGUCCUCAAGGAAGAUAAUGACGGUACUUGAGGAGGAAGCCCCGGCUAACUACGUGCCAGCAGCCGCCGUAACAC